rnacentral:rRNA from 1 species
GACGAACGCUGGCGGCGUGCUUAAUACAUGCCAGUCGAACGGAAAGACCCUGCUUUUGUGGGGCUCUCGAGUGGCGAGCGGGUGAGUAACACGUGAGUAUACUGUCCUUGUCUGUGGGGUAAAUCCAGGAGACUGCGGCGCAUACAGGAUAUGAUCUAUUGAUGCGUGGGGUGGGUUGGAAAGUUUCGGCGGUUGGGGAUGGUCUCGCGGGUUAUCAGCUUGUUGGUGGGGUAGUGGCUUACCAGGGCUUUGACGGGUAGCCGGCCUGGGAGGGGGACCGGCGACAUUGGGACUGAGAGACGGACCAGACGGCUACGGGAGGCAGCAGUGGAGAGUAUUGCACAGUGGGCGGAAGCCUGAUGUAGCGACGCUGCGUGCGGAAUGACGUCCUUCGGGUUGUAAACAGAUUUCGCAUGUGACGAAGAGUGAGUGACGGUACUGGGUAAAGAAGCACCGGCUAACUACGUG